rnacentral:rRNA from 1 species
UAACAAGGAUUCCCCUAGUAACUGCGAGUGAAGCGGGAAGAGCUCAAAUUUGAAAUCUGGCGGUCUCAGGCCGUCCGAGUUGUAAUCUGGAGAAGCGUUUUCCGCGCUGGACCGUGCACAAGUCUCCUGGAACGGAGCGUCAUAGAGGGUGAGAAUCCCGUCCAUGGCACGGACGACCAGUGCUUUGUGAUACGCUCUCGAAGAGUCGAGUUGUUUGGGAAUGCAGCUCAAAACGGGUGGUAAAUUCCAUCUAAAGCUAAAUAUUGGCGAGAGACCGAUAGCGAACAAGUACCGUGAGGGAAAGAUGAAAAGCACUUUGGAAAGAGAGUUAAACAGUACGUGAAAUUGUUGAAAGGGAAACGCUUGAAGUCAGUCGCGUCCGGCAGAACUCAGCCUUGCUUCGGCCUGGUGUACUUUCUGUCGGACGGGUCAACAUCAGUUUUGAACAGUGGAAAAAGGCAAGGGGAAUGUAGCGCCGUCUCGGCGGCGUGUUAUAGCCCCUCGUCGGAUACACUGGUUGGGACUGAGGAACCGCGCAGCACGCCCUUGUGGCCGGGGCUUUCGCCCACGUCACGUGCUUAGGAUGUUGGCAUAAUGGCUUUAAGCGACCCGUCUUGAAACACGGACCAAGGAGUCCAACAUGCUUGCGAGUGUUCGGGUGGAAAACCCUUGCGCGUAAUGAAAGUGACAGUUGGGAGCCUCCGCAAGGGGGUGCACCGACGCCCGGCCCUGACGUUCUCUGACGGUGCUGCGGUAGAGCAAGUAUGCUGGGACCCGAAAGAUGGUGAACUAUGCCUGAAUAGGGCGAAGCCAGAGGAAACUCUGGUGGAGGCUCGUAGCGAUUCUGACGUGCAAAUCGAUCGUCAAAUUUGGG